UCUAUAACUUUCAACUUGUUUCAUCGGAAAUCCCUUAGACACAACAAGUCGCCAACUUUUCUCACUUCUUGGGACUUCACCUUCCUGGAGUAUUUCGACCACUCUUUUUCUGCCAAAGAAAGCUGUAUGAUUCGGUGUAAGGUUUUUGAUUUCACUUGAGGACAAGUUACUAUUUUGGGGAGGUGUAUUGUUCCGGGGUAACGCACAAGACUGACCGGACGAAUUGGUACGAACAUCGCUGCAUGCUGUCGAGUCUGACACCAAGAUAUCAUGUCCCGUUUUCAAACCGCGCUUUUAGAUUUUCGUCAUCCAUGUUAAUUGAGACAAUGCUGCUGUUUGACGAGGAAUAUUGGGAAAAGACAUCUUGCAGCCUUGGUUGAAACCAGGUAUCUUCGCUUUUCUCAGAAGAAGACAGCGGAGGUAACUGCAAUUUGCAGCUCGGCCUAAUGCACUGUAUUUCGUUAUCUAUGUUACAUACCGACUCUGAGGCACAACUUUUUUUUACACAUUUUUCCCUGUGUGUGCCUGUGUUACUGCCGGAACAAAAUUAUUUGGAAAUCAUGAAUUUUCAAAUGACGAAAAGGGCGAACUGCUUGUCCACGUAAGUAAAAAUAGAUCGUCUAUGGAGCUUAUCACCCGUGGCUGGAACUCACAGUUCAGCGAACGAAACGAAAAAUCGUUUGUGCUAUUAUUGCAAGGUGGAAAAACUGAUUUUAUGUUCCUAUUAAUAACAUUGCAUAUUGCAAAAAUAAUCCAAGCAGAGGAAUAUGUGAGUUUGGUGUUGCGCAUUGGGAACACGCUUCUUCUAAUUUACAUGAUACCCACUGGAGCAAAUUGAACAAGGAAUAAGUCUUGUAAUACAACGAAUUAGGCCAAAGACACGGCAUUAAAACAGCAAUUACCAUCGACAGUACUUUCGCAGAUAUUGAAGCUUCGCGUAAUCUUUCGCAACUUGGUCUUCCAGGAUAUUGCUUCACAUGAACUUGUUCUUGCUUCACGCACUGUUCCAGUCUCUUAACUUUCGCCUUAAAGAAAAUAAUAGUAUCAAGAAAAAAAAGCUACACCACCAGAGGAACCAAAACGAAGCAUAUUUCCCUGAUGGUAGCUUACCCUAUCUUCACAUCUAGCUGUUCCAAUGCAGUGCACUAAACAUAAAAAUGAAUACAACCACAAUUAUAAUUGUUAAUUCCAAAUUAAUCUUGCAUACUUGUCAACAACCUGAACCAUCACUUA